CCCUUAGAUGUCCUGGGCCGCACGCGCGCUACACUGUGUGUCUGAGAUACGAGUCUGCCUGGUCCGGCAAGGUCUAGGUAAUCGCUAAAAGACACAUCAUGCUUGGGAUAGAUUAUUGCAAAUAUUAAUCUUGAACGAGGAAUUCCUAGUAAGCGCAAGUCAACAGCUUGCGUUGAUUACGUCCCUGCCCUUUGUACACACCGCCCGUCGCUACUACUGAUUGGAUGUUUAAGCGAGGUUCUCGAACUGCUAGCGACUUAGCUUCGGUGAGGUCGCAGUGUGGGAAGUGAACCUAGCUUUGGUGUCUAGAGGAAGUAAAAGUCGUAACA
rnacentral:rRNA from 1 species